CACUCCUGCGGGAGGCAGCAGUGGGGAAUUUUGGACAAUGGGCGAAAGCCUGAUCCAGCAAUGCCGCGUGAGUGAAGAAGGCCUUCGGGUUGUAAAGCUCUUUUGUCAGGGAAGAAACGGUGAGAGCUAAUAUCUCUUGCUAAUGACGGUACCUGAAGAAUAAGCACCGGCUAACUACGUGCCAGCAGCCGCGGUAAUACGUAGGGUGCAAGCGUUAAUCGGAAUUACUGGGCGUAAAGCGUGCGCAGGCGGUUUUGUAAGUCUGAUGUGAAAUCCCCGGGCUCAACCUGGGAAUUGCAUUGGAGACUGCAAGGCUAGAAUCUGGCAGAGGGGGGUAGAAUUCCACGUGUAGCAGUGAAAUGCGUAGAUAUGUGGAGGAACACCGAUGGCGAAGGCAGCCCCCUGGGUCAAGAUUGACGCUCAUGCACGAAAGCGUGGGGAGCAAACAGGAUUAGAAACCCCAGUAGUCCCAU
rnacentral:rRNA from 1 species